rnacentral:rRNA from 1 species
GAUGAACGCUGGCGGCGUGCCUAAUACAUGCAAGUCGAGCGAACAGACGAGGAGCUUGCUCCUCUGACGUUAGCGGCGGACGUGUGAGUAACACGUGUAUAACCUACCUAUAAGACUGGGAUAACUUCGGGAAACCGGAGCUAAUACCGGAUAAUAUAUUGAACCGCAUGGUUCAAUAGUGAAAGACGGUUUUGCUGUCACUUAUAGAUGGAUCCGCGCCGCAUUAGCUAGUUGGUAAGGUAACGGCUUACCAAGGCGACGAUGCGUAGCCGACCUGAGAGGGUGAUCGGCCACACUGGAACUGAGACACGGUCCAGACUCCUACGGGAGGCAGCAGUAGGGAAUCUUCCGCAAUGGGCGAAAGCCUGACGGAGCCACGCCGCGUGAGUGAUGAAGGUCUUCGGAUCGUAAAACUCUGUUAUUAGGGAAGAAAAAAUGUGUAAGUAACUAUGCACGUCUUGACGGUACCUAAUCAGAAAGCCACGGCUAACUACGUG